rnacentral:rRNA from 1 species
ACGCUCGACACCUACGGGAGGCGGCAGUCGGGAAUAGUUGCGCAAUGGAGGAAACUCUAGACGCAGUGACGCCGCGUGCAGGAAGAAGGGUUUUUACGGAAUUUGGUAAACUUGGACUUUUAGACUAGGGGAAGAACGAAAAUGAACAGUACCUGUAGAAUAAGCUCCGGCUAACUACGUGCCGGCAGCCGCGGUAAUCUGAGCGGGCUGGGCAAGGC